rnacentral:pre_miRNA from 1 species
CCUACAGUUGGCUGUCGCCCGACCGGCAGUUGCCUCGUGAUCCGUGAUCUGUAGAUCGAAUCACAGCCAACUGCUGCUCGGGAGAAUGCCGUUCGACCCAGAA